GUGAGUCAUCGAAUCUUUGAACGCACAUUGCGCCCGCCAGUAUUCUGGCGGGCAUGCCUGUUCGAGCGUCAUUAACACCCCUCAAGCCCCCGGGCUUGGUGUUGGGGAUCGGGAACAGCGGAUCGGCCCCCCGGGGCCGCGAAGCCCCCGUCCCCCAAAUGCAUCGGCGGUCACGCCGCGGCCUCUUGCGCGUAGUAGCUAACACCUCGCGCCGGAGCCCGUCGUGGUCCACGCCGCUAAACCCCCGACUUUUUACAAGUUGACCUCGAAUCAGGUAGGACUACCCGCUGAACUUAAGCAUAUCAAUAAGCGGAGGA
rnacentral:misc_RNA from 1 species